rnacentral:tRNA from 1 species
GGGCCGGUAGCUCAGCCUGGAAGAGCACCGCCCUCGCACGGCGGAGGUCCCGGGUUCAAAUCCCGGCCGGUCCACCA